GUACACUCCUACGGGAGGCAGCAGUGGGGAAUAUUGGACAAUGGGCGCAAGCCUGAUCCAGCCAUGCCGCGUGAGUGAUGAAGGCCCUAGGGUUGUAAAGCUCUUUCACCGGUGAAGAUAAUGACGGUAACCGGAGAAGAAGCCCCGGCUAACUUCGUGCCAGCAGCCGCGGUAAUACGAAGGGGGCUAGCGUUGUUCGGAUUUACUGGGCGUAAAGCGCACGUAGGCGGACUAUUAAGUCAGGGGUGAAAUCCCGGGGCUCAACCCCGGAACUGCCUUUGAUACUGGUAGUCUUGAGUUCGAGAGAGGUGAGUGGAAUUCCGAGUGUAGAGGUGAAAUUCGUAGAUAUUCGGAGGAACACCAGUGGCGAAGGCGGCUCACUGGCUCGAUACUGACGCUGAGGUGCGAAAGCGUGGGGAGCAAACAGGAUUAGAAACCCCAGUAGUCCCAU
rnacentral:rRNA from 1 species